UACGGGGGGGGCAAGCGUUGUUCGGAAUUACUGGGCGUAAAGCGUGCGCAGGCGGUUCGUUAAGUCCGAUGUGAAAGCCCCGAGCUUAACUUGGGAAUGGCAUUGGAAACUGGCGGGCUGGAGUGUGGCAGAGGGGGGUGGAAUUCCACGUGUAGCAGUGAAAUGCGUAGAGAUGUGGAGGAACACCGAUGGCGAAGGCAGCCCCCUGGGCCAACACUGACGCUCAGGCACGAAAGCGUGGGGAGCAAACAGG
rnacentral:rRNA from 1 species